rnacentral:misc_RNA from 1 species
AACUGAUACUACCUGCGGGAACCUGCGGAGGGAUCAUUAUCGAGUUUUGAAUGGGGUUGUCGCUGCCCUUACGGGGGAUUGUGCACGCCUCGCUCAUCCACUCUACACCUGUGCACUUACUGUAGGCUUCGAAUUGUAACGUCGAGGGCUUUAAACGGCCUUUGGCGGAGCGUUCGGGCUUAUGUUUAUUACAAACCACAAAGUAUUAGAAUGUCUAUUGCGAAUAUAACGCAUCUAUAA